rnacentral:rRNA from 1 species
GAUGAACGCUGGCGGCGUGCUUAACACAUGCAAGUCGAACGGAAAGGCCCAAGCUUGCUUGGGUACUCGAGUGGCGAACGGGUGAGUAACACGUGGGUGAUCUGCCCUGCACUUCGGGAUAAGCCUGGGAAACUGGGUCUAAUACCGGAUAGGACCACUUCUUGGAUGUUGUGGUGGAAAGUUUUUUCGGUGUGGGAUGAGCUCGCGGCCUAUCAGCUUGUUGGUGGGGUAAUGGCCUACCAAGGCGUCGACGGGUAGCCGGCCUGAGAGGGUGUACGGCCACAUUGGGACUGAGAUACGGCCCAGACUCCUACGGGAGGCAGCAGUGGGGAAGAUUGCACAAUGGGCGCAAGCCUGAUGCAGCGACGCCGCGUGGGGGAGGACGGCCUUCGGGUUGUAAACUCCUUUCGCUAGGGACGAAGCGUUUUGUGACGGUACCUGGAGAAGAAGCACCGGCUAACUACGUG